UUUAAAUGCAUGUUUUUUUGUUGGGGGUAUAUCUACCAAAUAGUUUUUAUGUAUUUGGGCAGUGGAGAGUACCUUUGAUGAAGCUCCUCUAAAUGUAGCUGAAGUCCAAAUAGAAUACAGUUCACUCUUUGGUAAAUAAGAGCCCCACCAACUCCUAUCCAAGACCCCGAUGGGCCCUUUAUAAACAAUGUGUUCAAUUCUGCAUUAUAUUAUUUGUAUAUCUCCCAUGUUGAAAAUAGAUUGGGGAUUUUUUGUAAUGGUCUCCAUAUUUUAUGUAAUGUACCCCAUAUUUUAAUUUGAUAUAGGCUAAGAAAAACAGUACAUCCUGUCUGUGUUGUCUCUUUUGUAUAUAUUUGAGUUUUGUAUGUAACUGACAUGAGUUUUAAAUAGUCUCCGAAUACUUAUAUCCCAAAUGAG